GGCUGGUUAGCGCAGUUGGUUAGAGCGUGGUGCUUAUAACGCCAAGGUCGUGGGUUCGAUCCCCAUACUGGCUA
rnacentral:tRNA from 1 species